UACGAAAGUCUUCCGGUUCCGGGGGAAGUAUGGUUGCAAAGCUGAAACUUAAAGGAAUUGACGGAAGGGCACCACCAGGAGUGGAGCCUGCGGCUUAAUUUGACUCAACGCGAGGAACCUCACCCGGCCCGGACACCGUAAGGAUUGACCGAUCGACAGCUCAUUCAUGAUUCGGUGGUUGGUGGUGCAUGGCCGUUCUUAGUUCGUGGAUUUGAUCUGUCUGCUUUAUUGCGAUAACCGAGCGAGACCCACGCCUGCUAACUAGUCCGUGCAUUGCCAUUGUGCACGCCGACUUCUUAGAGGGAUUCGCGGUGUUCAGCCGUUUGAAAGUGGGCAAUAACAGGUCUGUGAUGCCCUUAGAUGUCCGGGGCUGCACGCGGGCUACACUGGCAAAACCAGCGUGCCUGUCCUGCCUCGAAGGAGGUGGGUAAACCCGGCAAAAUUUGCCGUGAUUGGGAUCGGAGAUUGCAAUUAUUUUCCGUGAACGAGGAAUUCCAAGUAAGUGCGAGUCAUCAGCUCGCGUUGA
rnacentral:rRNA from 1 species